CUGCCCUUGACUCUGGGAUAAGCGCUAGAAAUGGCGUCUAAUACCGGAUACGAGCUUCAGCCGCAUGGCUAGGAGUUGGAAAGAAUUUUGGUCAAGGAUGGACUCGCGGCCUAUCAGCUAGUUGGUGAGGUAAUGGCUCACCAAGGCGACGACGGGUAGCCGGCCUGAGAGGGUGACCGGCCACACUGGGACUGAGACACGGCCCAGACUCCUACGGGAGGCAGCAGUGGGGAAUAUUGCACAAUGGGCGAAAGCCUGAUGCAGCAACGCCGCGUGAGGGAUGACGGCCUUCGGGUUGUAAACCUCUUUUAGUAGGGAAGAAGCGAAAGUGACGGUACCUGCAGAAAAAGCACCGGCUAACUACGUGCCAGCAGCCGCGGUAAUACGUAGGGUGCAAGCGUUGUCCGGAAUUAUUGGGCGUAAAGAGCUCGUAGGCGGUUUGUCGCGUCUGCUGUGAAAUCUGGGGGCUCAACCCCCAGCCUGCAGUGGGUACGGGCAGACUAGAGUGCGGUAGGGGAGAUUGGAAUUCCUGGUGUAGCGGUGGAAUGCGCAGAUAUCAGGAGGAACACCGAUGGCGAAGGCAGAUCUCUGGGCCGUAACUGACGCUGAGGAGCGAAAGCGUGGGGAGCGAACAGGAUUAGAUACCCUGGUAGUCCACGCCGUAAACGUUGGGAACUAGAUGUGGGGGCCAUUCCACGGUCUCCGUGUCGCAGCUAACGCAUUAAGUUCCCCGCCUGGGGAGUACGGCCGCAAGGCUAAAACUCAA
rnacentral:rRNA from 1 species